GUUUGUGUAGUGGAUGCUCUGCGUGAGUGUGUAGAUGAUGCAGUGUGAGUGUGUAGUAUAUGCAGUCUGUGUAGUAGUGGAUGCAGUGUGUGUAGUGGGUGCAGUUUGUGUAUGUGAAGUGGGUGCAGUUUGUGUGUAGUGGGUGCAUUGUGUGUGUAUAUUGUGAAUGCUGUGGAUAUUUGUGUAGUGGAUGCAGGGUGUAUAGUGACUGCUCUGUGU